rnacentral:rRNA from 1 species
UGCCAGCAGCCGCGGUAAUACGGGGGGCGCAAGCGUUAUUCGGAAUUAUUGGGCGUAAAGGGCGCGCAGGCGGUCUUGUCCGUCAGGUGUGAAAGCUCGGGGCUCAACCCCGGAAGUGCGUUGGAUACUGGUAGUCUUGAGUAUGGGAGAGGAAAGUGGAAUUCCGAGUGUAGGAGUGAAAUCCGUAGAUAUUCGGAGGAACACCGAUGGCGAAGGCAUCUCUCUGGACCGAUAUUGACGCUGAGGCGCGAAGGCGUGGGUAGCGAACGGGAUUAGAUA